AGGAAGCAAGUGCUCAUAUCUGCUUUCUGUUACGCGGUAAAAGGGGCAUUUUCCACGGAUCAGAGAAGGCCAAUGUUAGUCCAGCUGUGACAACUAGUAAGUGUAACAGAUGGCCCACAAUUUGGAAGCUUACUACGACAUGAUCACAGUGUUGGUGGAUCAGGAAUACUGGCCCAGCUUAGCUGGGUGCCUCUGACUCAAGGUCUCUCAGGGCAUUGCAGUUUCCUUUGAAGUAGAAAUUGGGGAACAAUUUGCUUUUAAAUUCAUUCACAUUAUGGUUGUUGGCAGAAUUUCAGUUCUUCUCAGGAUACUGGGCUGAGGACCUUAUUUCCUCUCUGACUGCUGACCAGAAUCCUCUUUCAGAUGAAAUGUAGACCUUUUCAUCAUGUACUCCUAACAUGGCAGCUGCCUUCCUCAAAAAAGAAGAGAGAGAGAACAAGAGAGAGUGACCAAGAUGGCCAUCACAGACUUUUUGUAACCUAAUCUUGGAAGUGACACCCCAUUCCCUCUGCUGCAUUAUCUUCUCUAGAAGUGAGUCAUGAAAUCCAACUGAAGGGGAGGGAAUUUUACAAAAGCAUGAAUACGGGAGGCAGAGGAUUUUGGAGACCAUCUUAGAAACCACCUACAACACUUCUCUUACAUGGAGAGAUGAAUCAUUUUAAAAAAUACAUUUCAAAAAUGCAUGGAUCUCCUAUUUUAUUUCGGGAACUGCUGUGCUCUAAGGGGUGGAAAGAUAAGGGAUGAAACUAUAAAAUGGCUCACUUCUUAUCUUCCAGGAACUUAUGUUCUGGUUCAGGAGGCAGAACUAUUGAAAUGUGAUCAGUGCUAUAAAAGCUGUAGGAGUUGUGGGAGCAGAAAAACUUUUUAAGAUGUAAGAAGUGUUACCUUUGUAAGCUAAAAAUAAAAUUCUAAGCCCUCUAACCAUCUGAAUGAACCCCUCUUCUAGGCCAAGGCCAUUUCAAAGUUAAUGUGAGAACCCAGUUCAGGCCGUGAUGGGAAGUGGAGGUCAUACAUACCUCCUUACGCCCUCCUCCCUUUGGAAUCAGGCACAACUAACCAACAUUAACAUUAAAACAGAGGUUUUUAAGACUUUUUGUAGCAAAAAGACACUGAAUUCCAGCCUGACUCUGGUAUUGUGUUACACAACAGAUAGCAGGCUCUGAAAGAAAUUGAAGUAUUUUACCCUAAAAUAUAUUUCUUUGAAAUAUUUUGAAAUGUCCCUGCAAAGUUGUCCCUUGUGGGGAAAAUCUAAAUUCUGUACAGAAUUUCUUUCCUUUUCCAGUUCUUUUCCCUGAUCCAGGAGAGAAUUAAAGGAGUCUGGUAUCUUUUUUAAGUCUGAUAAGAAACAUUUACAAUCUUUUCUUUCUCAAGCCUGUUACCUGUAAGCUUCAUCGGCAUAAUAAGAACCUUGGUUUCCACAACCCCUUGUCUUAACCCAGACACUCCCUUCUAUGGAUUCCAGGUCUUUAGAUAAACUUUUUCAACCAAUUGCCAAUUGGAAAAUCUCUGAAUCCACCUAUGACCUGGAAGCCCACACUUUGAGUUGUUUUGUCUUUUCAGACAGAACCAAUGUACAUCUUACAUGUACUGAUUGAUGUCUUAUGUCUCCCUAAAAUGUAUAAAACUAAGCUGUAGCUAGACCACCUUGGCACAUACCAUCAGGAACUCCUGAGGGUGUGUCAUGGGCAUGUCCUUAACCUUGGCAAAAUAAACUAAACUGAUUAAGACUUGUCUCAGAUAAUUUUUGGUUUAUACCUUCAUAAAGGAAGUGAAGCUUGGGCUUGUGUUGAAGAAAAGAAUAGGAGAGAAAGCAUCUGCCGACAUGUACCUGUGAGAACCUUGCAAGAAUUACAGACACUUUUAAUGACAAAACCAGGCAUCUGCAUUGGGAGGAGUGGUAAGGAAGAAGGAGGCUGGAUAAAGGAGCUAGAAGCCAUGCUGGGAGGGUCCUAUUAGGCCACACUCAGGACUUUGGAAUCUGCAGUACGUGGAGUGGAAACACUGAAGGAUAUAAUCAGUUAUGUACAGAAUAAAGAAUGUUCUGAGCCAAGCUCGGUAUGCACUGUUUUACCAAUAAACAGAUAAAAAAGAAGAGGAAUAUGUGUCAUCUCCCAUUUCACAACCCCUAAGACUAUGUCAAAUGACUAGGUUACAGUCUAGGUGGAAAGCUUUGUGUGAGCUCCUUUACUUCAGGUCAAAUUAUACAUCUCAAUGACUGAAUACCACAUCUCAAUAACAUGUAAUUUCUCACAAGCACCACAUUUUGUGAAGUAACUGGAAGAAUAUGAUUCAAGAUUGUUUCCAGAGAAGAAUGAAAGAAAAUAGUAGUGUUCCUGUGUAAUGUUAACCAUGGGACAGCUCAACCCAUAGCUCCUUUAUUUAGCUUGGUAAAUUAAAUGAAUCUCUAAAUACUUUAAUUACUUCCCCCAUUGCCUUUCUUCCUCCACAGUGCAAACUCUGUGCCAUUCACUUGUUAAAGCCUCUUUUGAAACUCAUUUCUCACAUUUCCCCAAAGAUCCAUAAGCUUUCUAUAUGGAAGUGAAAAGAAGCAGUGAGGCAUAUAGUCAGUGAUACUUAAAACUGGAUGAGUCACCCCCAGGGAAUGUCUGGGAGGUGUUUGAGGGCUUAAACAUGUGCCAGAGCCCACAGUCUUACAAGUAUUCAAGCAGACCAGAUUCUGACUGAAUAAUGCCAUAAUUUCUAAGAUUCUAAAUUCUAAGAUUCUUUCCAGUGUCAUAUUGUCAGAUACCUGAGAACCCAAUUGACUUACUAAUAUUUAUAAACAUACACCAUCAUCAAAGGGAAAAUAUCUGGCUAAAUCUGGGAGAUGACAUUGCGCUUGCAGAAUUGUAUGACCUAUAAUCAUAUAGUACUCUUCUGAGCAAUGAAGGAUUAAACAAUUUGCAGGUGCUAUGUCUCCAUGUACACUAAGUCUUGCUCUAAUA
rnacentral:lncRNA from 10 species